rnacentral:rRNA from 1 species
UGCACUUGAUCUAGCAUCAAGUAUGGGGGAGUGAGAGAGUAUUUCUUCGGCCACCUCGUUUGGUGCCGGCUUUUAUACCUCAAAUAAAUAAACCAUUUUUUCCUCACUGCCCCAAGACUACCCGCUGAACUUAAGCAUAUCAAUAAGCGGAGGAAAAGAAACCAACAGGGAUUACCUUAGUAACGGCGAGUGAAGCGGUAAAAGCUCAAAUUUGAAAUCUUCGGAAUUGUAAUUUGAUGGAUAAAAUUGCUAACUGACAAAAGUCCAUUGGAAGAUGGCGCCAUAGAGGGUGAUAGCCCCGUUAUUGUCAACUUGCACUAUAAUUUUAUUCCAAAGAGUCGGGUUGUUUGGGAAUGCAGCUCAAAGUGGGUGGUAAAUUCCAUCUAAAGCUAAAUAUUGACGAGAGACCGAUAGCGAACAAGUACAGUGAUGGAAAGAUGAAAAGAACUUUGAAAAGAGAGUGAAACAGUACGUGAAAUUGUUGAAAGGGAAGGGGAGGGAAGAUGUUAAAGGAACUCCUUGCUUUUGCAGGGAUUCCCCCAAGAGUCUUUCCUCUCGCCCGUCUUGAAACACGGACCAAGGAGUCUAACGAUUAUGCAAGUAUUUGAGUCAACCCCCAAAUGCGCAAUGAAAGUAAUUGGUCAACCCUACCCUCCUGUCCUAAUGGGCGGGAGAGGAAGCAUAAUU